UACGGAAGGCAGCAGUGGGGAAUAUUGCACAAUGGGCGAAAGCCUGAUGCAGCUAUGCCGCGUGUAUGAAGAAGGCCUUAGGGUUGUAAAGUACUUUCAUCGGGGAGGAAAAAACAAAACUAAUAAUUUUAUUUCUUGACGUUACCCGAAAAAGAAGCACCGGCUAACUCCGUGCCAGCAGCCGCGGUAAUACGGAGGGUGCUAGCGUUAAUCAGAAUUACUGGGCGUAAAGAGCACGUAGGUGGUUUUUUUAAGUCAGAUGUGAAAUCCCUGGGCUUAACCUAGGAACUGCAUUUUGAAACUGAAAUACUAGAGUAUCGUAGAGGGAGGUAGAAUUCUAGGUGUAGCGGUGAAAUGCGUAGAUAUCUGGAGGAAUACCUGUGGCGAAAGCGACCUCCUAAACGAAUACUGACACUGAGGUGCGAAAGCGUGGGGAGCAAACAGGGAUUAGAUAC
rnacentral:rRNA from 1 species